GAGAGGAAAAAUGCACACUGAAGCAGGGGAUGCCCUGCUGACACUACCUGUUGAAUCCACUGCCGCCAUGUUUCUCCCCCUCCUUCUCGGUGUUUUGUCCAUCUCUCAAGAGUCAUGCCUCUGAACUAAAGCAGGAAGAGCUAGAAAGAAAACAACAAAAAUGGGUGGAUGAACACCACUACCCAAAGGGAUCUCCAUCCACUGUAUGAUCCACCCAGGCUGACUCUUCUAAGCAUGAAGCAGACAGAAUAACUGGGGCAGAGCUGGAAAGAGAGAAGAGGGACAGCAUGAUUCCUGCUGCCAUGUGUUCAGAACCAAAAUGGAGAGAGAUUCAGAAAGUCAGAGGAAGCAAACAAGGGUUAUCAUGACCCUACCCCUGGAUGGUAACUGGAAAUACACCAAAAUGGAAAGAUUCAGACCUGUGCAACCCCCUCCCUCCCCCUCCCCCAUUUUGCAUUUUCUUAAGUGUCAAAGGAUA
ensembl:lncRNA